UACAGAGGUCUCAAGCGUUGUUCGGAUUCAUUGGGCGUAAAGGGUGCGUAGGUGGCGCGGUAAGUCGGGUGUGAAAUUUCGGAGCUUAACUCCGAAACUGCAUUCGAUACUGCCGUGCUUGAGGACUGGAGAGGAGACUGGAAUUUACGGUGUAGCGGUGAAAUGCGUAGAUAUCAUGAGGAAGACCAGUGGCGAAGGCGGGUCUCUGGACAGUUCCUGACACUGAGGCACGAAGGCCAGGGGAGCAAACGGG
rnacentral:rRNA from 1 species